UCGACGGAUUAAGGGCUUGCUCUUUAGUUAGUGGCGAACGGGUGAGUAAUAUAUCGGAACAUAUCCGGAAGUGGGGGAUAACGUAGCGAAAGUUACGCUAAUACCGCAUAUGCCCUGAGGGGGAAAGGGGGGGAUCGCAAGACCUCUCGCUUUCGGAGUGGCCGAUAUCGGAUUAGCUAGUAGGUGAGGUAAAGGCUCACCUAGGCGACGAUCCGUAGCUGGUCUGAGAGGACGACCAGCCACACUGGAACUGAGACACGGUCCAGACUCCUACGGGAGGCAGCAGUGGGGAAUUUUGGACAAUGGGCGAAAGCCUGAUCCAGCCAUACCGCGUGAGUGAAGAAGGCCUUCGGGUUGUAAAGCUCUUUCAGCCGGAAAGAAAUCGCACUUCUUAAUACGAAGUGUGGAUGACGGUACCGGAAGAAGAAGCACCGGCUAAC
rnacentral:rRNA from 1 species